AUCCCAAACCACUCCCUCGACCCUCCCCUCCGUGACGGAGUGAACUCCGUCUGUAGGCACACUCACAGCUGAAUGAAGUUCCCUCCAUUAUGGGUUAAGGGUAAAAAUACAGCGGCAAACUUUGGGACGGCCUCCCCUCUCUCCGCAGGAAACGGAAACGGACGUCAUGGUGUCCAACUCACAUCUCCAUCUGUCGGCUGCAUUGACCUGCGUUGCUAUCCGUCGCCUGUUAGCGGGUGCAAUGGCAAGAUCCAACAGAAGGCGCAGAAGGUUGAGGCGCAUUUUAGCGAUGUGCCAGUGGCAGACAUGAACGAUGUCCUUGAGGAUGCUGAAGCCUUCCCCCCUGAAGAUGGGGACCAGAGUCCUCCCCCUGCCGCAGCAUGUGGACAGGAAAGUCCUGGACACCACCUAAGGAACAGGAUUGCUGCACAACUCUCUGCUCCUGUCCAAAUGGCACCACACCAGAGAGCACGAUUACAUCGAAUGAACUUUGUUUUUUUUUUGGAAAAACGUGGUUGUCUGUUAACUUGUGUUUUUGAAAUGAUGUGCACACAUACCUGAUUAAUUUUGUUUGUUUUAGUGAGCUCCACUUCUCACUUUAGAGAAAAGAGGUGAAAUAAAAUAAACCUGUGCACCGUUGAUUUCAAA